GGUAAGUGCAGAACUAAUCUGCUUCAAAAUGAGAAAGAAAGUCAAUGUUGCCAAGAGCUCGACGAAUGCAUAGAGUCCUUAAAGAAUGAAAUGGUGCUGGAUGAAUUGAAAAUUGUCCCAAAAUGCAUUACACUUCAUCCAGCAUUCAAUUCAGUGUGUCUGGAUAUUUGGUCAUUAAGAAUGUCAGGCCCAAAAUUCAGAAAAAUAGAUGGAAGAAAAUAUGUGAAGCAUGAUGAUGAGAACAGAUAUUUGAGAAGUGUUGCAUAUCGAGAAUUUACCCAGCUGGUGCAUGGCUACUUAGGGAAUAAACGGAUACCACUACCUGCUUGUGCCUAUCAUGCAAUAAGGACUCGAUUUGUGGGAAAAGAUUUUCAGGGUUAUGAUGAUGAAGAAUUUGAGGAUAAAUAAUUUACUACUUAUAUGCCAAUGAUUCACCCUCAUUUUGAUUCUUGUUUUGUGGACAGUCCAGGACCUGUUGGUGACCUUUCAUUGGUUUCCCACAAGUUCGACAGUGUGGACGAGUUCUUGUUAUAUUAAUGGUAUUUUCUGACAUUGUUAAUGGGACUAAAAUAUUAUAAUUUUGAGAUUGUAAUAUUAGACAUCAUAACUGUAAGUAAUUAAUAAAGUAUGUUUUAGUCA